rnacentral:rRNA from 1 species
GACAGAGGGUGCAAACGUUUGCUCGGAAUCACUGGGCGUAAAGGGCGUGUUAGGCGGGUAGGCAAGUCGGGCGUGAAAAUCCCUGAGCUCAACUCAGGAACUGCACUCGAAAACUGCUUAUCUUGAGUGCCGGAGGAGGAAAGCGGAAUACCUGGUGUAGAGGUGAAAUUCGUAGAUAUCAGGUGAAACACCAGUGGCCGAAGGGCGGGCU